UUUCAAAAGAAAAAAAAGAAAGGUCAAACUCAAAAGGAGCGUAAGUUAAUGGAGGAAGGAAUUCGAGCGACUAAUAGGAGAGAGAAAGAGAUGAUUGAAUGACGAAGGGACAAUGACCGAGAGCUACUCCGGUACUUGGGAAAGACGAAGCGACGCAAGGAGAUUGUUUUAGUGAGUAUUCCUUCUCCCCUUUAAAUUGAAACUGAAACCCUUAAUUCUUAGAUUCAGUUCAAAUGGUUCUGGAGCAUAAAUUGAUUUAUUGGCGCCUGAUAUAGAAACUGAACAACAUAAGGUAAAAGACAUAAUACAACAUAACAAGGGCAAGUAGCACAAAGUGUGAGAUGAGUUAUUUGGUUAAGUCAAUGAGAAUUAUAAUUCUCCUGAUCAGCAGAAGGGCAAAAAUAUUUUGAUCAAAUGCCAAAAAAAUAAAAUUUACAUAGCCAUUAUAAUUAAACCAGUAUCUGAUAUUACUUCCUCUUGACUAUUAUCAGAUGACAUGCGAUACCACUGAAUUGAGCAUUUAGAAAGCUGGGCACCAUUGUCCAAGCAAGGAAGGAUCCUAGUGCUUCAGAACCAUCAAAAGCAUAUAACCUGGAUUUAUCUUCUUCAGCUCUAUUGCUUUUUGCCAGGUGGAAAGAAUUAGAACAUGGAAUGGCAUAAGAAAGUAAUUAAUUGAACAGGGAAAUAAGAUGAGAGAGCAUACCCGAUUGGAACAAUGGUAGCUGAGGAUUAGAACCACUUUAUACAAUACUUCACCUAAUUAUUACUACACUAAAUAUCUGUAGCCAUUCCUUCAAACAGGGAAGGUUUUUACAAUGCACCCUGAACAGUUCCUUACUGCAAAUUUUGAUAGCCAUUCUUUAUUUAUCGUGUAUUCUCUUGAUUCUUUGUGAUAUAUAUAUCCUUGAGUGUAUAUUUCUCUUGCAUUCAUGUGGGUACUGAAAAAAAUGAAACCAAGAGAGAAUUAGAUUUUACUUGAAUAUGAUUUUCUUCUCUAGGCUCGUACUUUAUAUGGAAGGUGUCUACAUGGUUUAUUCAAAAAAAAAAAGGAAUACUUAUUGGACAAGAACUUAGGCUAGAUUUUCCAUAUAAAUUAAACACAUUUUACUUUUUCGUCCUUUGUGGUCAGUAGCCACUUAAAUUGGUAAAAGCAUGGAGAUGCAUAUUUAUUAGGGGUUUUGCAUUUUUUUUUUUUUUUUCCUUCUUUUCAUUUGGCAUGAGGUUAAUUCAUGUGCUAUUUAAUGCUCAACAUCCCAGGACAUGGAGGAACUAGUGGAGGAGGUUGAGGAGGCUAGAAGAAUUAAACGGUUGCAUCAACCUAGUAAGGUUAGAUGCAUCCUUUCAGUUGAGUGAAAAAGAUACACCUUUACUGCAUUUUUUUUUUUAUAUAAAACAUAUUUUAAAUUUCAUUUUUUACAUUCCUACAUAUGUGUCCAUAAAAACAUGUGUGGUAGUUGCAAAAUCCAUAAAAAAUGAAAGCAGUAGUAUGAAAUGGGUUUUCAAAUACUAAAAAGUUACUUUUAGUGUUUUUUAUAAUUUUUUAUUCUACUUAAG
rnacentral:lncRNA from 1 species